GGCCCGCUAGCUCAAUGGUAGAGCAAUUGCCUUUUAAGCAAUUGGUUACAGGUUCGAAUCCUGUGCGGGUCA
rnacentral:tRNA from 1 species